CUGUUCUCGCCGAGCCCGCGGCCUUUGCCGACCUUGCGCAGAUCUUCCCAGCCUAGACGCGGUUUCAGUCAGCUCCUGCUGCGGAUUCAAGGGCGGAGGCCGUCCACGCGUUUCUCCCUCACCCCCUCCUCAAAGGGUGAGCGGGCCGAGAGGCAACCACCGGCGCAGUCAUGCUGGCUUUGCAGAAGGGGCUGCGGUUGCUGAAUGGGACCGUGAGGAGCCAGAUCCUCCCGAGGGCAAACACGUCCACCAAGUCAGGAAAGAACAGUUUCUUGGAAAAUGCCAUUGCAUUCACCGUGAUUUUUACUGGUGGCUUUUUCCCAAUUUGUUGGGUUAUGGGCAAUCUGGACAGUUAUAGUAAAUGAGAAGAAAAAGCUUUGGGAACAUGGUCACGAAGAAGAAAAUGUCAAUGUUUGUUAUUCCCAGAGGCUUUCAUUAUUAAAACUAAAAUUUGAAAAUUCACAA